rnacentral:rRNA from 1 species
AGGACGAACGCUGGCGGCGUGCCUAAAACAUGCAAGUCGAACGAGAUAGCAAUAUCUAGUGGCGAACGGCGGAGUAAUACAUAAGCAACGUGCCCCGAAGACUGGGAUAGCGGACCGAAAGGUCCAGUAAUACCGGAUGUGGCCCACUUAGGACAUCUUAGGUGGAUUAAAUGGUUUUUCGCUUUCGGGAGCGGCUUAUGACCUAUCAGCUUGUUGGCGAGGUAACGGCUACACCAAGGCUACGACGGGUAGGGGGUCUGAGAGGAUGACUCCCCCCGAGUGGGACUGACGACGACCGGCCCACGACACCGUACGGGUCGGCAGCGAGUUGGAAUCGUGACACAAGUACGGGGAACCUG